GUGCUCCACUAGGCAGCACAUACACUAAAAGUGGAACUAUAAGGUGAUUAGAAUGGCCCUUGUGCAAGGAUGACAUGCAAAUUUGUGAAGCAUUCCAUACUUUU